GGAGAUGAGGGUGAUCUGGCUGCAACAUCUGUCACCCCAUUGAUCACAAAGGUUGAUGCUGCUGACCUGGCUGGCAAGGCGGGUGUCCCCUUCCUCCCUCAUUGCUCCAUGUAAGUCCUUCCCAAAGCUGCAUGCUCAGUCAAAGAGGAUGACCGGCCUUCCUGGAAUAGAGAAGAACUGGUCUUCCAGGGAGGGUAUAAGAGUAGCUGCCCUACCCUGAUAGAACCUCCAAACAAACUCUCAUUUCCUGAGUAAGAGGAGAUUAUAAUUGAAGUGUUAAUGGUUUAUAGUACAGUUGUUGACACAUAGAUACAGUAUCUUAUCUUCCCA
ensembl:misc_RNA 7SK 7SK RNA